UGAUUCAGCGGCGGACGGGUGAGUAAUGCCUAGGAAUCUGCCUGGUAGUGGGGGACAACGUUUCGAAAGGAACGCUAAUACCGCAUACGUCCUACGGGAGAAAGCAGGGGACCUUCGGGCCUUGCGCUAUCAGAUGAGCCUAGGUCGGAUUAGCUAGUUGGUGAGGUAAUGGCUCACCAAGGCGACGAUCCGUAACUGGUCUGAGAGGAUGAUCAGUCACACUGGAACUGAGACACGGUCCAGACUCCUACGGGAGGCAGCAGUGGGGAAUAUUGGACAAUGGGCGAAAGCCUGAUCCAGCCAUGCCGCGUGUGUGAAGAAGGUCUUCGGAUUGUAAAGCACUUUAAGUUGGGAGGAAGGGCAUUAACCUAAUACGUUAGUGUUUUGACGUUACCGACAGAAUAAGCACCGGCUAACUUCGUGCCAGCAGCCGCGGUAAUACGAAGGGUGCAAGCGUUAAUCGGAAUUACUGGGCGUAAAGCGCGCGUAGGUGGUUUGUUAAGUUGGAUGUGAAAGCCCCGGGCUCAACCUGGGAACUGCAUCCAAAACUGGCAAGCUAGAGUAUGGCAGAGGGUGGUGGAAUUUCCUGUGUAGCGGUGAAAUGCGUAGAUA
rnacentral:rRNA from 1 species